UCGGGAAUUUUGCACAAUGGCCGAAAGGCUGAUGCAGCAACGCCGCGUGAGCGAAGAAGGCCUUCGGGUUGUAAAGCUCUGUUGCCUGCGAAGAAGGGCCCUGUCAGGAAAUGGGCGGGGUUUGACGGUAGCAGGCGAGGAAGCCCCGGCAAACUACGUGCCAGCAGCCGCGGUAAUACGUAGGGGGCGAGCGUUGUCCGGAAUUACUGGGCGUAAAGGGCGUGUAGGCGGCCUGUUAAGUCAGGGGUGAAAGACCGGGGCUCAACCGCGGGGGUGCCUCUGAAACUGGCGGGCUUGAGUGCUCUAGAGGGCAGUGGAAUUCCCGGUGUAGCAGUGAAAUGCGUAGAGAUCGGGAGGAACACCAGUGGCGAAGGCGGCUGCCUAGGGAGUCACUGACGCUGAGGCGCGAAAGCUAGGGGAGCAAACAGG
rnacentral:rRNA from 1 species